rnacentral:rRNA from 1 species
UACGGAGGAUGCAAGCGUUAUCCGGAUUUAUUGGGUUUAAAGGGUGCGCAGGUGGUUUAAUAAGUCAGUGGUGAAAGUCUGUCGCUUAACGGUAGGAUUGCCAUUGAUACUGUUGGACUUGAAUAUGGAUGAUGUAGGCGGAAUGUGUAGUGUAGCGGUGAAAUGCAUAGAUAUUACACAGAACACCGAUUGCGAAGGCAGCUUACUAAUCCAUCAUUGACGCUGAGGCACGAAAGCGUGGGGAUCAAACAGGA